ACUUUUAAAGGAUAGAAGAAAUCCGUUGGCCUUAGGAGCCAAAAAAU
rnacentral:tRNA from 1 species